UACGGGGGGGGCAAGCGUUGUUCGGAAUUACUGGGCGUAAAGGGCUCGUAGGUGGCCAACUAAGUCAGACGUGAAAUCCCGGGGCUCAACCUCGGAACUGCCUUUGAUACUGCAAAUCUCGAGUCCGGAAGAGGUGAGUGGAAUUCCUAGUGUAGAGGUGAAAUUCGUAGAUAUUCGGAAGAACACCAGUGGCGAAGGCGGCUCACUGGCCCGGAACUGACGCUGAGGUGCGAAAGCGUGGGUAGCAAACGGG
rnacentral:rRNA from 1 species